rnacentral:rRNA from 1 species
UACGUAGGUGGCAAGCGUUGUCCGGAAUUACUGGGCGUAAAGCGCACGUAGGCGGCUUUGCAAGUUAGAGGUGAAAGCCCGGGGCUCAACUCCGGAAUUGCCUUUAAAACUGCAUCGCUAGAAUUGUGGAGAGGUAAGUGGAAUUCCGAGUGUAGAGGUGAAAUUCGUAGAUAUUCGGAAGAACACCAGUGGCGAAGGCGACUUACUGGACACAUAUUGACGCUGAGGUGCGAAAGCGUGGGGAGCAAACAGG